rnacentral:rRNA from 1 species
UACGUAGGGUGCGAGCGUUAAUCGGAAUUACUGGGCGUAAAGCGUGCGCAGGCGGUUCGCCAAGUCAGGUGUGAAAUCCCCGGGCUUAACCUGGGAAUUGCGCUUGAAACUAGCGGGCUUGAGUGUGGCAGAGGGGGUGGAAUUCACGGUGUAGCAGUGAAAUGCGUAGAGAUGUGGAGGAACACCGAUGGCGAAGGCAGCCCCCUGGGUCAACACUGACGCUCAUGCACGAAAGCGUGGGGAGCAAACAGG